AAUUCCGGUGAAGAUGCCGGAUACCUGCGACAGGACGGAAAGACCCCAUGGAGCUUUACUGUAGCUUGACAUUGGGUCUUGGUACUACAUGUACAGGAUAGGGGGGAGGCUUUGAAACCAGGACGCCAGUUUUGGCGGAGCCAUCCUUGGGAUACCACCCUUGUAGUACUGGGCCUCUAACCAUAGGCCAUGAAUCUGGUCUUGGGACACUGUCAGGUGGGCAGUUUGACUGGGGCGGUCGCC
rnacentral:rRNA from 1 species